UCGACCUGAGAUCAGACGAGAUUACCCGCUGAACUUA
rnacentral:rRNA from 1 species